rnacentral:rRNA from 1 species
GGGCUCGCAGGCGGUUUCUUAAGUCUGAUGUGAAAGCCCCCGGCUCAACCGGGGAGGGUCAUUGGAAACUGGGGAACUUGAGUGCAGAAGAGGAGAGUGGAAUUCCACGUGUAGCGGUGAAAUGCGUAGAGAUGUGGAGGAACACCAGUGGCGAAGGCGACUCUCUGGUCUGUAACUGACGCUGAGGAGCGAAAGCGUGGGGAGCGAACAGGAUUAGAUACCCUGGUAGUCCACGCCGUAAACGAUGAGUGCUAAGUGUUAGGGGGUUUCCGCCCCUUAGGGCUGCACCUAACGCAUUAAGCACUCGGCCUGG